UAACCUUUAUAUUUUAACAAAAAGACAAUUAUGUCUUAUUUUUCCAUAACCCUAAUACAUAAAUCAUUAGAUGUUAUCUUACCACCACAAUCAAGUUACCGCAAUAACAAUUAUGUCAUUGUACAAUUAUAUAAGCAGGCACGCACAACGUGAUCUUCGUUUUGACAACAUUAAAAAUGAUCCUAGUUCAAUAUUUGACGAAUGAAUAGAAAGAGACAACAACUCUUAAGAAGAGUAUCACACAAUACUAUUGGCUCUGAAUUUUAAGAAAUGAAAAAUUAGAGGAAUAUUAUUACAACAGGUUUAAUGUGAAUGUAAUGCAUAUUAUUUUUUAUUUUAUGUAGAUUGUGUAUUAGUAUGAAUUUUUAUCACAUUUUAUGUAACAAAUUAUGAGGUUUACUAUAGUUUGUUUAAUUGAGUUUUUUCACAUUAUAUAAUUUCACAUAUUUAAAAAAAUAGUAUG
rnacentral:lncRNA from 1 species